rnacentral:rRNA from 1 species
UACGGAGGGGGCUAGCGUUGUUCGGAAUUACUGGGCGUAAAGCGCGCGUAGGCGGACCUGCAAGUCGGGGGUGAAAGCCCGAGGCUCAACCUCGGAACUGCAUUCGAUACUGCGGGUCUCGAGUCCGGGAGAGGUGAGUGGAAUUCCUAGUGUAGAGGUGAAAUUCGUAGAUAUCAGGAAGAACACCAGUGGCGAAGGCGGCUCACUGGGCCGGUACUGACGCUGAGGGGCGAAAGCGUGGGGAGCGAAUAGG